GCUGACGUAGAGAAUGUGGAAACAAUGGUCUCACAGUCGCAAACGUCAGAUUCAUCAUUGCUUUCCGAAACAAGCACAACCACCUCUUCUUCUGCAGUUUCAUUUAAAUAUCUUUUAGCAUAUUCAACAAAUGUUUUUAUCACAAGAACAUAUUCAUCCACCUCAUCAGUCGUGGUUGAAUCCAUCUUUAAUAGUUUCACUUCAUCAAAACCUCUCGCCAUUGGUAGGAAGCAAAAGCGGAGGCAAAAGACAGGACCUGCUGUUCACACAUACCUUCUAGAGGUCGUGAAGGCGUCUUAGUCAUCCUCCAUCCUACGCGCAGCAGCGGGCUCUGAGUCGUCUUUGUCGUCGCCAAAGCCAUCCUCGGAAUAGGGGCUAGGGAUGGGUAGGAGACAUCGAUGGAACUCCA
rnacentral:lncRNA from 1 species